UUUUGAUAUCGCAGGGUAACCCAUUUACGGGUGAUAUCCAGGAUGCCCGGGUAGGCAUUCCUAGACCGUAUGUCGGCUUAGCACUUGGGGGUGCACUACCGACCAAAACCCCUGCGGGAGUCUUCAGCCGCUUUAAUUGGAGGGUCCCGGAUCUGCAGGCAACAGGAUCCCUCCAGCGACAGGCUGGCCUCGGCGAAAAGACCAGACUUCUCCUCCAUGGGACUGUCCGGCUCACCUCUGAACAA
rnacentral:misc_RNA from 1 species